rnacentral:lncRNA from 1 species
GUCACACGAAGGUCUUCAUGGGAGAAGAGAAGGAAAAGGUCAAAAAUAACUUCCUGCUUAUAUAGUUUUCUCAGUUUCUUUGAUGGCUUAAAAUACUCAGUAUGCCAAGGUGCCAUAUGUUGGGGUAUCAUGUUCUAAGCCCUGACACCUCUGUAACAACUCAGAAUUUCUUCUCCGGGCUUCCUUCAGGUACAAAAAGAGGAAAGCUGAGGCUCAAAAUAAGUGGGGAAAGCAGAACUGCCUUAGACCAACAAUGUCAGGGCUGGUGAUGCCCUCUUGUGGCAUCCUGGAGAAUUACUGCCAUCUGACUUCAUUUCCUCCGACUUGGAGGGACUAUUCCCUCACAAUACCUCAGUCACUGAUUCAUGCAUGCCAGGUAUUGUCCUAACAGUAUCCCUGUCCUCGUGGAGUUUACAGUCAGAUGGAGGACAUACUAUUAAUAAACAUAAUAAGGUAAUGCUAUGGAAAAAAAUAGCAGAGUAAGGUGGGAGGGGAGGUGGUGAGUAUAGAGAAUGGUAGUGUGCAUUGCAAUUUUAAAAAGAGUAGGCCUUCUUGUAGAGUUGAAGGGAGAUGGGGGAGUGAGCCCUGUGGAUAUAUGGGAUGAAGUUCUAGGCAGAGUGAACAGUCAGUACAAUAGCGUUGAGACAAGAGCUUGUUUGCCAAUUUCUUUUUUUCUUUUUCUUUUUUUGAGACGGCGUCUUGCUCUGUCGCC